ensembl:lncRNA
AGGCUCUUCUGUCCAGAGGAUUCUCCAGGCAAGACUAGAACAUUUAGCAACAUCAACUCUUCUAGGAGAUGGAGAUGCAGAUGAAAACAAGACCAACAAUUUGAAAGGAGCUUACCUUCCUGUAUACUGAACCCCCAGCAUGUGGAGGAGUUGCUCACCAGCCCAUAGACCUCAGACCAGGGGAAACCAGAAAGUUGAUGAUGGUGACACCCAGUUACCUCACCACCAAGCAAUAAGACGAUUCUCUAGGAGCUGAUCAUGCACCCAGCAUCUCUACCUCACCCAGUCUCUAGACACCAUUCCCUGGUAAUCAGAGGGGUUUCAGGCAUUUUGAGCCUUAACUCUCUGGACUCCUUGCUUGGAUCCUGUAUUAAAACCUGCAAUUUGUUUCACCACAACCCAGAGUCAGUAGAGGGGCUUUACUGUGUUCCCACAGCAGGUGCAAAUUUGAUUUGGUAACAACUGCUCCCUGUCAUCCCUCUCCCCCAGCACCCCAACACAGAAGAUCCCUGAAUUACAGCUUGUCUCCCACAGACUUGACCUCCUGUUCCUAAAGCCAUCUUGGGGAUCCCCUUUGCCUUGGGAUAAAGGACAAGCAUCUGUUCCUAGCAUCAAAGGGUCCAGAUGCCUUUUUUCAGCUUCCCUCUUUCUAGCACCAGGUCCAGGGUUCCCUCUUCCCACUUUCAGCACCAGGCCCAGGGUUAGUUGACUCUCUGUCCUCCUCCAGACACUCCCAGGUCCCAGGCUGGGCUGACAUGGGCAUGGACAGUCAGAGACACUCCUGUUGGCAAAAAUUCCCCAAGGCCAUGAGAGCACAAUGUCCCUCAUCCCAGGUGACCCCCAGGCACUAGGUUCAGCACCCACCUUGGA